CCCUUAGAUGUUCUGGGAUGCACGCGCGUUACACUGAUUCGUUCAACGAGUUUAUGACCUUGCCUGAUGAGGUGGGGGAAUCUUUUCAAAUCGCAUCGUGAUGGGGAUAGAGUAUUGGAACUGUUAGUCUUCAACGAGGAAUUCCUAGUAAGUACGUGUCAUCAGCUCGUACUGAUUAUGUCCCUGCCCUUUGUACACACCGCCCGUCGCUCCUACCGAUUGAGUGCUCAGGUGAAUAGUAUGGACUGCAUCAGUGUUCGGUCUCCGAAUGUUGACGCGAGAAAUUCUGUGAAUCUUAUUGCUUAGAGGAAGGAGAAGUCGUAACA
rnacentral:rRNA from 1 species